UCAGUGGAUCUGCGCUCGACUGUACUGUCGAGCGCAGAUUCACUGAGC
rnacentral:pre_miRNA from 1 species